AAUAACUUCACACAACUUGGCAAGUGAAGGUAAUCAAAUUGGUCAACUACAUUGGCGUUGAUCUGUUUGAUAUAUUCAGAUAUGGAAAGUUGAUGACUAAAUUGCAUUAUAUUCUAGGGAGUAAAAGAAAAGAAUGAGGAAACAAAAAUGGACGUGCUGGCUUCAAUAUCAUUUGAUAGCCUCUUUGCAGCCUUCAAGGUAAUAUAUUAUACAUAAUUAUGUAUAUAAAAAGAGCUCUUUCCAGAAACUUAACUCAAAAAAGUGAUUUUUUUGUAUUUUAUUUUAGUGAAUGCAUUACAUUUGUGAGUUUCAUAUUUACUUUUUUGUGUACAUAAAAGAUAAUAAAUUAAUAUAU
rnacentral:misc_RNA from 1 species